UAUAACAACAGUGGACAGAACAUAUGAUGGUGUUGUCGUCGAAUGUUGUUGUUGCACGACUGUGUGAAGCAAAUGCUGGUGUUCAGUUAUCGUCGAAAAAGAUAAAGCGGUGGUAGUUAUAUUGUGAUUAUUUUUAUGAUGUUAUUGAGAGGUUUUUAUGUUGUUGAUGAACUGAGAUGUGAGAUGAGGGAAUGAGGGAGGAGGUUUGUGUUUUUGUUUUUUUUUACUUAAGUGAUGAAGAUGAGUAAGAUAUAAAAGUUGUUUUUGUUGGAGAGAAGGAGUAAUGAGAGAAAAAGUGGAAAAGAUGUUGUACUUUAUGUGUAGUAGCAGAGAUGUGUGAUGGAUUUGAAAAAGUCAGAUGAGGGUUACUGAAAGUUGACAUAUGCUUUUUGAUUGGUUUCUUUCAAAAGUCAGUCCCCAACGAAAUGGUGCCGUUUGUCCACUAGAUUAGAGGAAAUAUUUUCUAAUUUAUUUCAUUUUCUUUAAAUAAGAUUUGAUUAAAAA
rnacentral:lncRNA from 1 species